CCUUCCCCAGGUUUGACAUGCACGGGAAACCCUCUUGAAAGAGGGGGCCUCCUUCGGGACCCGUGGACAGGUGCUGCAUGGCUGUCGUCAGCUCGUGUCGUGAGAUGUUGGGUUAAGUCCCGCAACGAGCGCAACCCUUGCCCCGUGUUGCUAACAGGUAAUGCUGAGGACUCUCGGGGGACUGCCGGCGUCAAGCCGGAGGAAGGUGGGGACGACGUCAAGUCAUCAUGGCCCUUACGCCUGGGGCUACACACGUGCUACAAUGGCCAGGACAGAGGGCUGCAAGGCUACAAAGUGGAGCGAAUCCCAUAAACCUGGUCCAAGUUCGGAUUGCGGGCUGCAACUCGCCCGCAUGAAGCCGGAAUCGCUAGUAAUCGCGGAUCAGCUACGCCGCGGUGAAUACGUUCCCGGGCCUUGUACACACCGCCCGUCACGCCAUGGAAGCCGGUAGUGCCCGAAGUCCGUGUCCUAACCCGCAAGGGAGGGAGCGGCCGAAGGCAAGAUCGGUGACUGGGGCGAAGUCGUAACAAGGUAACCAAGGG
rnacentral:rRNA from 1 species